rnacentral:misc_RNA from 1 species
UUUCCGUAGGUGAACCCGCGGAAGGAUCAUUACUGAGUGAGGGCCCCUCGGGGUCCAACCUCCCACCCGUGUUUAACGAACCUUGUUGCUUCGGCGGGCCCGCCUCACGGCCGCCGGGGGGCAUCUGCCCCCGGGCCCGCGCCCGCCGAAGCCACCUGUGAACGCUGUCUGAAGUAUGCAGUCUGAGACAAUUGUUAAAUUAAUUAAAACUUUCAACAACGGAUCUCUUGGUUCCG